rnacentral:rRNA from 1 species
GGCUCAGGAUUAACGCUAGCGGCAGGCCUAAUACAUGCAAGUCGAACGGUAACAGGUCCAGCAAUGGAUGCUGACGAGUGGCGCACGGGUGCGUAACACGUAUGCAAUCUACCCUUAACUGGGGGAUAGCCCCGAGAAAUCGGGAUUAAUACCCCAUAAUAUUAUGAUGAGGCAUUUCAUUAUAAUUAAAGCUCCGGCGGUUUUGGAUGAGCAUGCGCGACAUUAGCUAGUUGGUGAGGUAACGGCUCACCAAGGCGACGAUGUCUAGGGGUUCUGAGAGGAUUCACCCCCACACUGGUACUGAGACACGGACCAGACUCCUACGGGAGGCAGCAGUAAGGAAUAUUGGUCAAUGGACGCAAGUCUGAACCAGCCAUGCCGCGUGAAGGAUGACGGCCCUACGGGUUGUAAACUUCUUUUGUACGGGAAAAAACCCCUGGUCGUGAACCGGGGCUGAUGGUACCGUAAGAAUAAGGAUCGGCUAACUCCGUGCCAGCAGCCGCGGUAAUACGGAGGAUCCAAGCGUUAUCCGGAUUCAUUGGGUUUAAAGGGUGCGCAGGCGGAAUGAUAAGUCAGUGGUGAAAUCCUACAGCUUAACUGUAGAACUGCCAUUGAUACUAUCGUUCUUGAGUACAUUUGAAGUGGGCGGAAUGUGUCAUGUAGCGGUGAAAUGCUUAGAUAUGACACAGAACACCGAUCGCGAAGGCAGCUCACUAAGUUGUAACUGACGCUCAGGCACGAAAGCGUGGGGAUCAAACAGGAUUAGAUACCCUGGUAGUCCACGCCGUAAACGAUGAUUACUCGAUGUUGGCGAUACACUGUCAGCGUCUAAGCGAAAGCAUUAAGUAAUCCACCUGGGGAGUACGGCCGCAAGGUUGAA